rnacentral:tRNA from 1 species
GCCCCUAUAGUUUAGUGGAUCAGAAUAUGAGGUUGCGGACCUUAAGACCUGGGUUCGAUUCCCAGUAGGGGCA